rnacentral:rRNA from 1 species
AUUGAACGCUGGCGGCAGGCUUAACACAUGCAAGUCGAGCGAGCGGCGGACGGGUGAGUAAUGUCUGGGAAACUGCCUGAUGGAGGGGGAUAACUACUGGAAACGGUAGCUAAUACCGCAUACCAUCAGAUGUGCCCAGAUGGGAUUAGCUAGUAGGUGGGGUAAUGGCUCACCUAGGCGACGAUCCCUAGCUGGUCUGAGAGGAUGACCGUCCACACGGGAAAUGAUACACGGUCCAGACUCCUACGGGAGGCAGCAGUGGGGAAUAUUGAAAAAUGGGCGCAAGCCUGAUGCAGCCAUGCCGCGGGUAUGAAGAAGGCCUUCGGGUUGUAAAGCACUUUCAGCGGGGAGGCGUUACCCGCAGAAGAAGCACCGGCUAACUCCGUGCCAGCAGCCGCGGUAAUAC